CUCGGUUCGGCUGCGCGCGCAGACCCUGCGCUUGGCAGUGGCUGCUCUGGGCUCCUUGUCACCAGGACAACCGGCCCCGCCGCAGCGCGUUUGCCAUGGUUUUCUCAAACAGUGAUGAAGCCCCCAUUAACAAAAAGUUACCCAAAGAACUUCUGUUAAGAAUAUUUUCCUUCUUGGAUAUUGUCACUUUGUGCCGAUGUGCGCAAGUUUCCAAGGCAUGGAAUGUCUUGGCUCUGGAUGGAAGUAACUGGCAAAGAAUAGAUCUUUUUAACUUUCAGACAGAUAUAGAGGGUCGUGUGGUGGAAAAUAUUUCCAAAAGGUGUGGUGGAUUCCUGAGACAGCUUAGUUUGAGAGGAUGUCUUGGUGUUGGAGACUCCGCUUUGAAGACAUUUGCACAGAACUGUAGAAACAUUGAACAUUUAAAUCUAAACGGAUGUACAAAAAUUACUGACAGCACGUGUUAUAGCCUUAGCAAAUUCUGUACCAAGCUGAAACAUCUGGAUCUGACAUCCUGUGUAUCUAUUACAAACAGCUCUUUGAAAGGUUUAAGUGAGGGUUGCAGAAAUCUGGAACAUUUGAAUCUUUCCUGGUGUGAUCAGAUUACGAAGGAUGGUAUUGAAGCACUGGUGAAAGGGUGCAGUGGACUAAAAGCACUAUUUCUUAGAGGUUGCACACAGUUGGAAGAUGAAGCACUGAAACACAUUCAAAAUCACUGUCGUGAACUUGUAAUCCUGAACUUGCAGUCAUGCACACAAAUUUCAGAUGAAGGCAUUGUAAAAAUUUGUAGAGGAUGCCACAGACUUCAGUCACUGUGUGUUUCUGGUUGUAGCAACCUUACAGAUGCUUCUCUCACAGCACUUGGUCUAAACUGUCCGAGAUUGAAGAUUUUGGAAGCUGCAAGGUGUUCCCAUCUGACAGAUGCAGGUUUUACACUUUUAGCACGGAAUUGCCACGAACUGGAAAAGAUGGACUUAGAAGAGUGCAUUCUGAUAACAGAUAACACAUUGAUACAACUUUCUGUUCACUGUCCUAAACUGCAAGCAUUGAGCUUAUCUCACUGUGAACUGAUCACAGAUGAUGGGAUUCUGCAUCUGAGCAACAGUACCUGUGGUCAUGAAAGGCUCCAGGUCCUAGAGUUAGACAAUUGUCUUCUUAUCACCGAUGUGACCCUGGAGCACCUAGAGAACUGCCACAGUUUGGAGAGAAUUGAGUUAUAUGACUGUCAGCAAGUCACACGAGCAGGAAUCAAAAGAAUAAGAGCUCAUUUACCUGAUGUGAAAGUUCAUGCCUACUUUGCUCCAGUCACCCCUCCUCCUUCUGUAGGAGGUAGUCGACAGCGACUCUGCAGGUGCUGCAUUAUUCUUUGACAGUAGGAGCAUCAGCAGAAGAAGAAAGAUUCCUUUAAUUAUGGAAACAAAAUCAGACUGCAAGUGGCUUGCAGAGUGUCAGUUUCUUAACAGCCCUAGGAGUGAUGUCACAGUCAUCCAAUUUUGUGCUGGUACUGACUCAAGAAAGGUGUUUUUGCAGAGGAGUGGAAGAGAAUGCAGCAGUGUGGAGGAAGGAGAUACGGUCACAUGGAGGAUCUUACUUGAAUACUGAGUGUCUGCACAUGUGCAGAGAGUAGGGCAUGGUAACUCAAAGACCCAGAAACUUCCAGAACAGAGUGGUAGUUACCAGACAUUCUCAGUUGCUGUUCUGAGGCUGUAUAGGAAGUUUUCACUGUGGGCUACUCACUUAGCAGUCAUAUUCUAGUCACCCUCAGAGAGCUGAGCCAACCAGAGAGCAGUGGAUGGAGUGGUUAUAAACAGAGGUGUUAAAAGUAGUCCCAUGGACUCAACAGGUGAUUAUUUCAUGGUUCUGUGUCAAUCUGCUGUGAGGGCUGGGUCCCAAUCCCUGUACCAUCUUGGACACAGGCUGCAGAUUUCUGUUUCCCCACAACUGAGAGCACCUGUCAGCUAUUAACCCAAGGUUUAGAAUGCUGCUAGCUGUGGAGGCCCACAUUGUUUGCUGACAGGGUUCUAAAGUGUUUGAAAGGACUGAAAUGCUGCCAUUUCUCAGGCUCUGAAGAGUCCAGAUGACAUACUGUGGUCACACUACAAAGAGCAAGAAAGCACCUGUUUGAAGAUCAGAGGGGAAUGCGUUUUGAUAGGUGCACUAAUGUACAGAAAACGUCGUAUUAAAACCUUGUAUUUGAAUGUUUCUAACAGAAAUAAAAGGGGGAAGUCUGUAUAAGGAACACCAGCAGAUUUACUGUUUAAUAGCUUUUAUUUAAAAGUUAUUCACAGCAUUCCAAAUACUAUUUACCAUGUUUUAUGCUGUUUACAAGUGUUUUGUGUGCAUUAAAUGUUUGUUUUACUAAGAAAAUGUAUGGUACUCACUCUCUGAAGCUGACUGGGAACUAUUAGCAUCCAUUUAUCAAGGUUUACAUAUAAUAGCCCUGAAGUUUAACUGUCAUGUGUUUCUGAAAAGUCCUUACAAGACAGAACUCUAGCCUGUGCUUCAGCAAAGAGUUAAGCUGAGGUUCAGUAUAGUUACACACAAUAUUGCAUGAGCAGCCCAUGUACCCCAUUACAUAAACAAGUCAAAAACUGAAGUGUACUAUGAACUGAAAAUUAUUCUAAUUUUGUAUUUCAAUUAACUUUUGUUUAAAAGAAUUAAGCUCUGUACAGUACAAGCCUUACACUUGCAAAACUUAACAUUCAGCAUAUUAUAAACUCCACAUUUGCAAAGAUUAGGAAGUUUGAGAAGUAUGGCUCAUAACAGAGCCCUUUAAUCACUGAAAGCCUUCAGCCUGUAGUUCUACAGGACCUCCCUUGAGACAGAGAAGACAUGAAACGCAGGAUUAAAAACAACAACAAAUCUCCUGGGCUUAAAGAGUCUUGACUACAAGAGAAGAAAGUAGUGAAGACCUAAUGAAAUCAUUAUGAAAAGGGCUAGGUCCAUUUUUGCCAAAUGUAAGGGAAGUUCUAUCUUUCUCUAGAGACUAAGCUCUGGCUUUCCAGCACUUAAGAGGGAUGCAAACUGGAGAUCUCCUUCCCACAGGACGACACCUGCCUGACAACUAGCAGCAGCAACAAUAUGCACUUAGCAGGAGGCCACAUCCAAAGAGAGAUUCACUGAGCACGGGGAGAAGAACUCCCUGGGCAUUACCAUACUCUAAAAUACCUAAUUUAGUCAGAAAGGAAAAAGAGGUUCAAAAACGUAAACACUGGAAGUCGAGCCUUGCCAUCUGAAAGAGCUGCCUCCACCUAAUUAGAAGUGUUAACAUGCUUUAUAGGGAGAGACACAUGUUGAGCACUGAUUUUUUUUUGUUUCCCCUGUAUACAUCUGCUGAUGGACAUCCUGCCCAGCAGCAGAAGAAUGUCUGGGUUGACAAUGGAUACUGCAGAAGAAAUGCAACAGCUUCAACUAAGGAACUAGGUAUUCUGGAUUGCCAAUAUUUUACUAUAAACUUUAGGUAAUUCCAGACAACCCAGUGUUUACUACAGCAUCAGGUAAAACAAAAUUCUCCAAAGAAUUCAUCCCACUGUUUACAGUGCUCGAUUAUAGCGCCUCAGUUGUGUGGGGCAUUUCAUAAACAAAGAAUGAACAGGUCCCUUGCCUUGAGAAAUGUACAAGCAGAAUUUUGAAUAGCACACAAAGGGAUGACAAAGUGGGGAGGGAAAUACUGAUGGACAAAAGUCAGCUAAUUGUCACUUAAGUGCUUUAGGGGAAGAGGUGUCAAGGAAAUACAAACAAAACUUGCUUGUUCAGUGAAUUAAGUCAAAUAAUUGACUUUCACAGGUGGACAUUAAUAUAUGACCAAAUUUACCAACACGUAGAUGCAGGAUCAUGACUUGCCCAAACAAAUAAGUUGCUAAGAUCUAUCUUAGAAAUAAAGAUAUUGGAAAAUAUUUAUCGUUCACCAUAAGUGUCAGUUUAAACACCUGGAAGGUUAAAACUUGAUAGGGAGAGUGUAAAAUAUACAUAUUUGCUUCUUUGAAGCAGACAGAUACAGGAAUAAAUAGAGGGUCCACAUGCUGUGAGAAAAAGUAGUGCUCAAUAACAUUAAGCCUUGCUGUAUCUGAGAGAGCAUAAGGAGAACAAGAUGCGGAGAGCCAGAGGAAACAAAGUAAUAUUACUACAAACAACCUCUCUGCAACAAUACAUGGGGCUUUAAAAGUACAGAUGUAUAUGGAAACUUACAUUAAAAACGCAGGUGGAAAUAUGGGACAAAACAUAUAUGCUGUAUCUAAAUUGCUAUUAUCUUUACUUUCACUGAUUACAUAUAUAUAAAGAAAGCAAAUAGCUUUUAAAAAACAUCUAGCUAUUUCAAUAAAGGAAAUGCAGGUAUAAACUGAAAGAUUUUUUUUUUUUUAAAUAUUAAAGAGUCACGCAGUCCCUCUGCAACAAUUUGUCUUAAGUGUUAGAUUUAGGAAGCAUUCCUCACUGAAACAGAGUAAUUGGUGUAAACAAGAGUGAAUGAAAUUAAGCCAAGGCAGUCAAAAUGUUUUUAUUUUUGAUCAUGGAAGUUUCUCCUAUAUCUAACACUGCACAAGGUAUCUUGCACAAUGAAAAGGUAAGCAGAAGUCCCUUACAGUGCCUC